AUAGCGUAUAUUAAAGUUGUUGCAGUUAAAAAGCUCGUAGUUGAACUUCAGACCUGGCUGGACGGUCUGCCUAACGGUAUGUACUGUCUGGCUGGGCCUUACCUCUUGGUGAGCCGGCAUGCCCUUCAUUGGGUGUGUUGGGGAACCAGGACUUUUACCUUGAGAAAAUUAGAGUGUUCAAAGCAGGCUUAUGCUCGAAUACAUUAGCAUGGAAUAAUAAAAUAGGACGUGCGGUUCUAUUUUGUUGGUUUCUAGAGUCGCCGUAAUGAUUAAUAGGGAUAGUUGGGGGCAUUAGUAUUCAGUUGCUAGAGGUGAAAUUCUUGGAUUUACUGAAGACUAACUACUG
rnacentral:rRNA from 1 species